rnacentral:rRNA from 1 species
UACGGAGGGUGCGAGCGUUGUCCGGAAUCACUGGGCGUAAAGGGCGCGUAGGCGGUCUGCUAAGCGUGCGGUGAAAGCCUGGGGCUCAACCCCAGGUCUGCCGUGCGAACUGGUGGACUUGAGCACUGUAGAGGCAGGUGGAAUUCCGGGUGUAGCGGUGAAUGCGUAGAGAUCCGGAAGAACACCGGUGGCGAAGGCGGCCUGCUGGGCAGUUGCUGACGCUGAGGCGCGACAGCGUGGGGAGCAAACAGG